rnacentral:lncRNA from 1 species
UGGGGCUGAGCAAUUUGGGAAGCGCUGAAGUUUUCUGCUCCUGUCCUGUACUGGUUUUCACUAAGCCAACUGUGAGAUUUCUUUGUUGCAAUGUUGGGGUCUGAGAUAACACUGCUGGAGGCUGGAGGCAAGAAACAUAGCCGAAACCAUCUUUUAGUGUGUGCUGUUAUUUACUAGUGCUGUGAACCAAGGAAGGGAAAUAACAAAGAGCCCGAAGACUGCACAGUUCCAGCCUGUAGGCCCUGGAGACAGUCCGGAGUCCUCAGACGGACAGAAAGAAGACAUCAUGAAGGGCAACCUGGGGUGCCUGUGGCUGCUGAGUACAGGUGUGGGUGACUGAUUUUAAGAAAUUAGCAACACAGAAGCUGAUUUUAAAAUAUUCAUAAGAAGCUGGCUUUUACAGUUGUUCGGAUGUUCCUUUCAGCUGGUCCUAUAGCCCCCUUUCUCAGUAAUGUCUCCCCAGUGAAAGGAAAAAGACUGCAGAGGCUUCAGACUGACGGACGCUCAUGCCAACUGUGAAGUUGAAACAAAGCAAGUGACCAGCUGAAGAGGCCCCUCCUGCCCAGCAGCCACCCACAUGCAGUUGCAGCCAGUAGUAAUCUUUGCAAGAAGCAGAGAAACCCAGAACACGUAUGAGUCAAAACCAUCCCCUUCCUUGUGUGUGUAUCCCUGUCUCGUUC